rnacentral:rRNA from 1 species
GAUGAACGCUGGCGGCGUGCUUAACACAUGCAAGUCGAACGGAAAGGCCCAAGCUUGCUUGGGUACUCGAGUGGCGAACGGGUGAGUAACACGUGGGUGAUCUGCCCUGCACUUCGGGAUAAGCCUGGGAAACUGGGUCUAAUACCGGAUAGGACCACAUUUUGGAUGGUGUGGUGGAAAGUUUUUCGGUGUGGGAUGAGCUCGCGGCCUAUCAGCUUGUUGGUGGGGUAAUGGCCUACCAAGGCGUCGACGGGUAGCCGGCCUGAGAGGGUGUACGGCCACAGUGGGACUGAGAUACGGCCCAGACUCCUACGGGGGGCAGCAGUGGGGAAUAUUGCACAAUGGGCGCAAGCCUGAUGCAGCGACGCCGCGUGGGGGAUGACGGCCUUCGGGUUGUAAACUCCUUUCGCUAGGGACGAAGCGUUAUGUGACGGUACCUGGAGAAGAAGCACCGGCUAACUACGUG